UUUAUUUUAUGAUUUAUGAAUUGGCUUUUAUAAGCUUUAUGAUAAACAUAGCGUUGGUAUUCUGUGCUCAUUUUCGAUUUUUUUUUUCUGCCAAUUUUAAAUCGCCAAUUUGAUUUGUUGCUUCUACCCAAAAUUCCGUUUAAUUUGCUCAAGCUCAGCCUCUUCUAACAUACGAUCGAUUUCGAAAUUCAUGGUUUUGUUAACUGUUCGAAAAGCAAUAGGUCGUCUCUUGCCACGAUGUCUGCACCUUUUUGGAGGAUGAACUCGAGGAACCCUGGAGGAAGUGCUUCUAGAGUCAGAACAGCGUGCCUGUAAGACUAAUGAAGAUUGCGAUUAUGGAAAAAUCUGUGUCUUCGAUUCGUGUGUGUUUCUCUGUGGAGCUCCUUUGGUAUAAGAACCAAUAAUAAUGAAAAUAAAAUGUAAUUUUCAUUUGCAUGCUUGCAAAAAGUGCCACAAAAUACAAUUCCAUUCACCCAGAAGCAAUCAGAGUUUCAUAUUCACUCAAAUUAACUAUAAUGACCGACAAUGUAUUCAAAACGGACUGGCACAUAUAAAUAAAACUAUCAAUG